GAGUAACAACAAUGACUCUCGGCAACGGAUAUCUCGGCUCUCGCAUCGAUGAAGAACGUAGCGAAAUGCGAUACUUGGUGUGAAUUGCAGAAUCCCGUGAACCAUCGAGUCUUUGAACGCAAGUUGCGCCUGAGGCCACCCGGCCGAAGGGCACGUCUGCCUGGGUGUCACGC
rnacentral:rRNA from 1 species